rnacentral:rRNA from 1 species
UGGGGGAUAUUGCACAAUGGGGGGAACCCUGAUGCAGCGACGCCGCGUGAGUGAAGAAGUAUUUCGGUAUGUAAAGCUCUAUCAGCAGGGAAGAAGAAAGACGGUACCUGAGUAAGAAGCCCCGGCUAACUACGUGCCAGCAGCCGCGGUAAUACGUAGGGGGCAAGCGUUAUCCGGAUUUACUGGGUGUAAAGGGAGCGUAGACGGUAUGGCAAGUCUGAAGUGAAAGCCCCGGGCUCAACCUGGGAAUUGCUUUGGAAACUGUUAAACUAGAGUGCUGGAGAGGCAGGCGGAAUUCCUAGUGUAGCGGUGAAAUGCGUAGAUAUUAGGAGGAACACCAGUGGCGAAGGCGGCCUGCUGGACAGUAACUGACGUUGAGGCUCGAAAGCGUGGGGAGCAAACAGG